AUUGAACGCUGGCGGCAGGCCUAACACCUGCAAGUCGAACGAGUGGCGGACGGGUGAGUAAUGUCUGGGAAACUGCCUGAUGGAGGGGGAUAACUACUGGAAACGGUAGCUAAUACCGCCUACCAUCGGAUGUGCCCAGAUGGGAUUAGCUAGUAGGUGGGGUAAAGGCUCACCUAGGCGACGAUCCCUAGCUGGUCUGAGAGGAUGACCAGCAACACUGGAACGGAGACACUGUCCAGACUCCUACGGGAGGCAGCGGUGGGGAAUAUUGCACAAUGGGCGCAAGCCUGAUGCGGCCAUGCCGCGUGUAUGAAUAAGGCCUUCGGGUUGUAAAGGACUUUCAGCGGGGGGGCGUUACCCGAAGAAGAAGCACCGGCUAACUCCGUGCCAGCCGCCGCGGUAAUAC
rnacentral:rRNA from 1 species